UACGUAGGGGGCAAGCGUUGUUCGGAAUUACUGGGCGUAAAGGGCGCGUAGGCGGUUUGCUAAGUUGGAUGUGAAAACUCUGGGCUUAACCCAGAGCCUGCAUCCAAAACUGGCAAACUUGAGUACUGGAGGGGAAAGCGGAAUUCCUGGUGUAGCGGUGAAAUGCGUAGAUAUCAGGAGGAACACCGGUGGCGAAGGCGGCUUUCUGGACAGUAACUGACGCUGAGGCGCGAAAGCUAGGGGAGCAAACAGG
rnacentral:rRNA from 1 species